rnacentral:rRNA from 1 species
GCUCGUAGUUGGAUUUGUGGUUGGGUCUGUCGGUCCGGCACAUUGUGCGGGUACUUGAUGGACUCGUCCAUCCUUGGGUGGAAUCUGUGUGGCAUUAAGUUGUCGUGCAGGGGAUGCCCAUCGUUUACUGUGAAAAAAUUAGAGUGUUCAAAGCAGGCUUAUGCCGUUGAAUAUAUUAGCAUGGAAUAAUGAGAUAGGACCUUGGUACUAUUUUGUUGGUUUGCGCACCGAGGUAAUGAUUAAUAGGGACAGUUGGGGGUAUUCGUAUUCCAUUGUCAGAGGUGAAAUUCUUGGAUUUUUGGAAGACGAACUACUGCGAAAGCAUUUACCAAGGAUGUU